rnacentral:rRNA from 1 species
UACAGAGGGUGCAAGCGUUAAUCGGAAUUACUGGGCGUAAAGGGUGUGUAGGUGGUAAUGUAAGUUAGGUGUGAAAUCCUCGGGCUUAACCUGAGAAUUGCGCUUAAUACUGCAUUUCUAGAGUACUGCAGAGGGCAGUGGAAUUUCCAGUGUAGCGGUGAAAUGCGUAGAUAUUGGAAGGAACACCAGUGGCGAAGGCGACUGCCUGGAUAGAUACUGACACUGAGACACGAAAGCGUGGGUAGCAAACAGGAUUAGAUACCCUGGUAGUCCACGCUGUAAACGAUGAGAACUUGCUGUUGGGUGCAUAAAAGCACUUAGUAGCGGAGCUAACGCGUUAAGUUCUCCGCCUGGGGAGUACGGCCGCAAGGUUAAA